rfam:Rhizoclosmatium globosum strain JEL800 BCR33scaffold_330, whole genome shotgun sequence.
CAGGGCAUAGCUAAAUUGGUAAGAGCAACAGGCUUUGAACCUGUAAUGUGUGAGUUCGAGUCUCACUGUCCUCU